CAAGAGCUGCGGUGGAGCUGAAGAGCAGCCAUACAAAUAACAAAAGCUGCCUUGUGCUUCUUAGAUUUGCUAAGGAGGUUAGCCUACAUUUGGACUGCUUUCCUGGACUUGUGAGAAGUUAUUCUUGUAUCUUGGAUUAAUAGAGAACAUGAAGACAGUGAAGUGAGAAGAGAGGAGGCCAUAACCUACCUACCGAACAGAAAUUUGACUUGCACCUAUCCUAUAAACAGAAAGCUCCAUGGAACACAUACUGUGUGCUUAGGAGAUUGAUUUACUCCAUAUUGAGAUUAUCAGUUAAGUAAUGUGCACUCUCAUCGAGCCUGCAGAUAACACCAAACUGGAGAGACCAGUCAGUGCACUCAAGUGCAGGGCUGUCUUCCAGCUGCAGGACCUAGACAGGCUGGAGGAAUGGCCUGAUGGGAACUGUAUGAAAUUCUGCCUGGACAAAUGCGAAAAUGCUGCCCUGGGAAGAAAGAAGCCCAAACGGUGAUACAAGCUGAGGACUGACUGUGUCGGGAGCAGUCCUGCUGAAAGGGACCUGGUGGACUUGAUGGUCCAUCCAAGUGUCCUGCCAGCUGCUGUGGCAGCAGUUAAGAGCAACAGCACUACAAGCUCUGAGAAGGUGAGCACAGCCAGAAGAUUGUAAGAAAUGUUUAUCCCCCUUCAUUUGGCACCCAUGAGAGGACAUCCCAAGAACUGCAUACGGCUUUGCCACCUGUCCAUCCAAGAGAGACAUUGCCAAAAUAAAGUGAGCCUAGCAGAGGGCCACCAGGAUGCACAGGGGCUGGAGCAACCACCUUGCAAGGGCAGCUUGAUGGAUGGGGCUGCUUCAACCUGAAGAAGGAACGGUUUUGGGGGCACCUCAGAGCAGCUUACCCCUACCUCAGUGAGCAGUUCACUGAGAAGAUGGAGCCAGGCUCUUCACAGCUGUGCAAGGCAGCAGGACAAGAGAUGGUGGGCAUAAGUUGACAGGGGAAGAUUCAGACUGGAGGGAAAAGGAAAAGGUGAGGACAGAGCAGCAGUGAAACAGGUUGCCCCAAGAUGUUGAGCACGCUCCAUCCUUGGAAACCCAAGUGGGUAAAGCCCAGAGCAACCAGGUCUGACCUCUUCACUGGCCCUGCCUUGUGUGGAGGUGUGACAAGGGACCUCCUGAGAUCCUCCAAGAUCUUUGCUGUCAGAGCAAAGAAAAUAGAUAAAAACACAGACUUAAGCUGUGGGUAAGAAUGUGGAAUAUGAACAAUGUCUGUAUUUAAUUUCAGUCUCCUACAGUUUCUCAUGCAGUUUUGAAAAAUAAAAACUGUUUUUCUCAUUAAUAUAAGUAGUUCCUCACGCAAGAGAAACACAUUCAUAGUCACUUAAACUGCAUGCAGAAUGGAAUUUUGAACUAUUCACACUAGCCCUCAGAGCCUCUCAGCAAGCAGAGAAAUAUCAAUUAAGAGUGCGUGUUGCAAUAGCCUAUUGGCAAAAUGCCCAGCAGCAAAAAAGUCACUAUUUCCUUCCAGCAUAAACUGCACCAGCUAAAGAAGCCCCUUUUUCUAGCACGGACCCUACAUGUGGAGCCCUUUACACUGUUUUAGAAAUGUAUGUAUGCACUAAUGAAGCUUUUUCUAUCUAUAGGAUGUUAUCGCCUGCUAAACCAAGCAGCCAGAGUUUGACCAGUGUAACUCCACCUGUGACAGACUUUAAUGACAUAGCUACUCUUACACUGUACAAGCACAGACUUAAGCCAGCACUUACAAUAAGCGUUCACAGAUAGUCUUGCAGAAGUACUGCCAAUCCUCAUCUAAGGAGCACUAGCUGUAGUCACUUUAAAGUGAAGGAACCUCUUCCAGAUGAAGAACUAUGAGCUGAGUUGUUAGAAUCCCAUUUGACAUCCUGUUGAUAAACAUUGCAUUAUACAGUAACAUAAAUAGAAAGCACAACCAGAUUCAGUCAUCAUUUUUUUUUCUGCUGUGCCUGGUUCCAUAGCAUCAUGUUCAGAAUGGAGAUGACAUUCAACACUACUCUUUGGAAAGGAUUGAAGUGGACACUGAGUGUAUAGAGAAGAGAAUACUUAUGUUAGCUGACGUUGGUACUGUUGGAUAUUUUGCAGAAAAACAAAAUGUCAGAAUAAAUGGUCAACAUUCAGGUAUCUUUUAUCAAGUGUAUGCUAGUCAGACUUAAUUUUCCAGGCUUGCUAAGGGGUUUGGAGAGGAUCUGGAUGAG